GUUUAUUAUUUGAUUUCUGAACUUCAGAUAUUUCAGUUAGUUGCAAAGGCUUAACUGGAGCAGAGAUGGCUGUCUGUGGGGCUCAGCGGUUCAAAGCUUUGUCUGUAUGAGAAUUCAAACUAACAUUUUUUCCCCCAUCUAAACUAUAAAGAAAUCUGUGAAAAGAAGAAAAAAUCCAGAUUUCUUUCUAGAGUGUUCUGUGAUCUGAGAACCGCUGGCUGUCUGGGAGCAUUGAUCGGGUUGAUAUACAGUUGUUGCCUGGAUUGAUGGUGAUUGGUUGCUUCUUCUUUGAGCUUAACGCGCUUUGCUUUUUUGGCUCUAACCUCUCUCUUGGCUAGAUGAGCUUCCCCAACUGGUUACCCUUCCACACCCCAAUCUUCAUGGACCAGAGAUCUUGGAUGUUCCCUCCACAGUUCAAAAGACCCCCUUCGUCACCAACCCUGGGUAUGACACCGAAAAUGGUAUUCAGCUUCCUGGCACAUCCCACCAACAACCCAGUGUUGGGCAACAAAUGAUCUUUGAGGAACAUGGCUUUAGGCGAACCACGCCACCCACUGCGGCCACCCCCGUCAGGCUUAGGCCAAGACCAUACCUGCCGAAUGUAGAUGAGGAGGUCCAAAUCGGUCAUGUUCCCAGGGGAGACGUAGACUACCACCUCUAUCCUCAUGUUCCGGGGCUCAAUCCAAAUGCCUCUACAGGACAAGAAGCUCUCUCUCAGACAACCAUCUCUUGGACGCCAUUCCAGGAGAGUUCUGAGUACAUCAUUUCAUGCCAACCUGUUGGCACUGACGAAGAGCCCUUACAGGUAUAUAUUACAGCCCUUAUUAUGAGUGUCUCUCUAGAUAACUGUGACAUCUAGAAGCGACCAUAGCUUCGUGUCAGAUGCCUACCCUCCCAGGACAGAUAGAUGGUACAACUCUGGCUGGAGGUUGUUUGGCUGUUUUCUCAUGGUGACUCAGACAGCAUCCCUGAGCUUGCUUGACUCAGUAGAGAAAAUGAAAUUACUUUUGUUAUUGUUCCACAUUGGAGACAGAUAGAUAGAACAGUGAUCUUCGGAAGAAAAGAAAAAAUAA
rnacentral:lncRNA from 1 species